rnacentral:lncRNA from 1 species
AAUGAGAGUUGCAAUGGGAUGAGAAUUUCCUAUAGUCAUGUGGACAGGGGAUUUCUUGAAUAGUGUAGGUGUUUGUUAUUGUUCCUGUUUUAUUUUUAGAUUGAGGAAGAUUUUAUAAUUUAGGCACUCGAAAAUUGAGGACUGACCAUUCAAUAUGGGGUACUCUAAACAAACACAGUUUUGGCUGUUUCCCACUCAGUAGCCAAUAAAUUGAGGGGUAAGUUUCAGUAGAGAAGAGAGUUAGUUUAUUCAGAAAAGCAGGCAGUCUGGGAAGGUGAACUUGUGUCCAGAGACUGAAUCUGAAGAUUCUGCUCAGCUGUGACAGUUUUUAAAGGAGAAAGGGGGAAACGAUCUCAGUUAAUUAUUAAAGCAAGUGAUCAGAUUCUUCAUCAUUUUUCCACUGAAUGUAGACCUUCUCUUAAUCUUCUUUGGAGUGCUCUCUUGCUACUGGUCUGCCUGCAUUUGGAUGUGCUCUUGCCCCCAUGGUAUACCUGCAAAUUUACUGAGGGGAAUCUAGGGAUGGAGACUCAGUCAUUCUUCAUCUGCUUAAUUCUUCAUCCUUAUUCUAAUACAGGAGAGGAAUCAACAGGUUAGAUAAGGUGUUGUAUAUAUCUAGAAAAGCAGAAAUCAGGAGCUAAGUUAAAUGUGGCCUAAUAUCUCACCUUUAUGAUUAAGGUCUAAGGAAAACAGAGAUGAACAAACAGAAAAGAGAUAAAGGAGCUACUUACAGUACUGGAGUCAGAAAACUGGAAUACAGACCUCCAUCACCUGCACUUACGACCUAUGUAAUCUUGUAAGUCACUUGACUUCUUUUUACUUCACUCACUCAACUGUAAAAUAAGAAUUAUGUAAGUAACCACUAUGCUACUACACAAAAUUUUGUAAAAGUCAAUGGGAUGUUUGAGGGCUUCAGGAUCUGUGUUUUAACUGGUGUCAUUCUCCCUAUUACUGUAGUGAAGACCCAUUAAGAUACAAUAUGUAAAAGAGUGAUGAAAAGAACCAAAUAUAAAUAGAUACUAUGUGAAAAUGGAUAAUAAUGCAAAUAUGAAUAAAAUGUGAUUUUUGAAUGAAAACAUCUAAAAACUUACAGGUUUUUUUAGCUUUUUUCCAACUUCAUAACUUUUAUGAGAUAUAUAACUUUUUCUUUUCUAACUGAAAUUCAGAUCUUAUAUUCUAUUAAAAUGUUUAUUGCCUUCAGCAUUUAAUGCGAGAGGAGGGAACUCUCAACUGAGUGAGGUGUGAAUUGGAGGCUCACUGCUUAUAACACAAAAUGAUAAUGACUUCUGAAGUUUCAAACUCUUUUUUUUUUUUUUUUGGUCUUUUUAGGGCUGCGCCCAUGGCAUAUGGAGGUUCCCAGGCUAGGGGUCCAAUCAGAGCCGUUGGCUUAUACCACAGCCACAGCAAUGCCGGAUCCUUAACACACUGAGCAGGGCCAGGGAUCGAACCCACAUCCUUAGGGAUACUAGUCGGGUUCAUUAACUGCUGAGCCACAAUGGGAACUCCUCAAACUUUUUUUUUUUUAACCCCCUUUAACAUGAAGAUGGGUUACAUGAAUGGAAGCUCCUCAUUUUCUACUAAAUUAUCUUUGGCUAUAAAAGUCAUCCUCAUUUUCUACUAAAUUAUCUUUGGCUAUAAAAGUCAAGAGGACACACAGAGAACAUGUGUGAAAGGUGCAAUGCAGGACAUUCUACUUUUAGCAGAAAUCUCAUUUAUCAAGACAUCUUCUUCAAGCAAUCAGAAUGUCAACAGUUUCUUUCAGAUCCUUCCAUUCUCUUAGAUGUGGAGUCAUCCCAGACUAAGGAUGACUUAGGAAGACUUUAUAAUUAUUCUUCUUUAGGGUCUUGGCUUUUCUGUUCAUCAGUUCCAGGUUUUCAAGCCAUUGUAAUUAAAUUUGGCAUAAACACAUUCAGAAUACCAAUCUCACACAGAGAAGAUUCUUCUUAUUUGAACUUUGCUAGUCAUAACUUGGCUUUGUCCACCAAUCUCUAGAGGUUUUCAAUAGAUCAAAAUAGAACAAAAUGUAUUUCUUAUAGUGAGAAAUUUGGCAUAAUUGUCUUUUUAUUCAGACUACAAAACUUAACUCAGUUUUCUUUUCCUAACCAUUCAAUUUUCCAAGUGUUAUUUUUAUUUUAAUUUUAUUUUUGCUUUUUAGGGCUGCACCUGCAGCAUAUUAAAGUUCCCAGGCUAGGGGUCAAAUUGGAGCUAUACCUGCAGGCCUACACCACAGCGGCAGCAAUGCUGGAUCCGAGCUGUGCCUGCGACCUACACCACGUCUCACAGGAAUGCCAGAUCCUUAAACCACUGAGUGAGGCCAGGGACAAAACUUGCACCCUCAUGGAUCCUAAUCGGAUUCUUUACCACUGAGCCAUGAUGGGAUCUCCAAAUUUUCCAAGUUUUAUAAAUUAGAAUUUUAUAUUACCCAAAAAUAUACAAUUUGGAUAAUGUACUGAGAGUUGCUCUUUUCUUUUUUCAUUUUUAAAUUUCCCUCUUUAUUCUCUCAUUUCCACAUACAGCUAAUUUAAGAUUUGUAUUUGUUUGUUUAUUGGGCCAAUACAUAUUUUUUGCUCUGAUGCUAGAUUUGAAAGUAAAUAUGGAGAUGGGAUGGGAUAGUAGGUAUAUCCAAUAAGAACCUUUUUAGAGUGUGAACAUAAGUUUUAUUUAAUUUAUAGAAUUGCUACUAACUGAUUUUAACCAGAAGUAUCUACAAACAAAAUAAUGUUUUAUCUUACUUUAUUUUAUUUUCAUUUUUAAAAGUUUUAUUGAAGAAUAGUUGAUUUACAUUGGCUUGUUAAUUUCUGCUGCACAACAAAGUGUUUCAAUUACAACAAAAUAACAUUUUAAAUGCAUUGGUUGGGAGAACUUGUUAUUACAUUGAAUCUUUUCCUAAGAUAGAGGGGAAAAUUUCUACAUUUAUUUUACUUAAAUUUUCAGGACUUACUAUUUCAAGAUGAUUAAGUACAAAAAAACAUUUCUACUGUCUCUUCAAACUUUUCUUAAAAAAUUACCAAAUCCAAUAAAGAGAAUGAUAAACAGAAACACUCAUCUUUAGUGAAACUAGGAGAUAUUGGUAAGUAUGAAAAAAUAAUGUAUGAAGAUGGAAAGUACUUAAAAGAUUAAUACAUGAUUAAAGAGGGAAAACAUUAAAAUAUAACUCUUAUGGUGAUAAGAAAUUCACAGUGUAGCAUUCUAGAGCAAAGCUGGAAAUUGGAGCUACCAGGUACUUGAAGAUUUGGAAAUGGACAGGGCUGGAGCUAAAAACAGGAAGGUUGCUGAUAAAGUUCCAUCAUGGAACCCAGGGUUUCAAAUGACUUCUCUUUUCUCACCAGAGGUUUUUCAGAGGGAGGUCAGAUCCAGUGAAGGCGAAUUGCUGCUGCUGUAUUUAAACAAAGGAAUGAAGUGAAAAAUCUGUAUUCUGAAAGAUGACAUGCCCAGGAUCAAUUCUAAUUUGUGGAGACAGGGUGAAUUUCUCCAAGUAGUCUGAUAGGUUAAUACAAUGAGAAACAGAUCUUACUGUAGGUUCGCCUUUAGGAAGUUGCAUUCAUGCACUGGAAGAAAUACUCAGGAUUCUUUUUGCCCAACAGACACAGUGGUUGUUAUGGUAACUACUCUGUAUGGAACUGCAGGCAAUAAGCACACAGAUCUUGCUUUGGGCAGAUUCACCCGUUUCUUGCUUUUGUUUUUAUUUUUUCUCCCAAACAAAUGGUCAUCUUUGAAUAAAUACAUUUUUUUUCAGUGGAAAAAUACAAAUAAAAUCCACUUUCAGUCCAAAAAUUUUCAGCAGGCUGAAUCUAAAAGCCUCCCAGAAGGGAAUAUUUGGUGAAACUCAGUUUAAGUAAAAAUUCAAUGUUCAUAACCUAUCAAACUCAAUUGGUAACAAUAUUCACCAAUGUCUAGGGACUGUUUUUUUGUCUUUUUAGGGCCACAUCCCAGGCAUAUGGAGGUUCCUAGGCUAGGGGUCCAAUUGGAGCUGCAGCCACUGGCCUACAGCCAGAGUGGGAUCUGAGCCACUUCUGCAACCUACAUCAUAGCUCAUGGCAAUGCUGGAUCCUUAACCCACUGAGUGAGGCUAGGGAUCAAACCUACAUCCUCAUGGAUGCUAGUCAGAUUCAUUUCCACUGAGCCACAAUGGGAACUCCUUUAGGGAUUUUUUAAUGGUACUAUUUGCCUCGUCUACUCUGCAAAUAUUUAGUAAACACCUACUCCAUGUCAGGCACAGGGCAUAUGCAUUUAGAAAAAAUUGAGGCCAAAGGGAAGAGAGAGAAUUCCUAUUUUGCAGUAUUUAGACUAUAGCUAUAGAUGUCAGAUAAAUCUGCUUAAUAGUGACUUGUUUUAAUCAGUUCAUCAUUAAAAAUUUCAUACUGAUGUUUUCUACAUUAAUGACUAGAGCUUUUUAUUAAUUUAUUUGAUGCUUUAUCUGUUUAAUGUUUAAUGAGUUUUCAAGAAAUCAUACCAGACAGAUGAUAUUUUUUCAGUUCAUUAGUAUUUUAUCAAAGAAACACAAUCCUUGCUCUUUUGUGUAAACUUCUAUGUAUCCACAACCUUCAGGAUAAGAAAAAUGGAUUAUGGGCCAGACGUAAUUUGACCAUGAGAGUUCCUCUUAAUGGAAUCUACGAGACACUGCACUGGAAACAACUUCAUGGCAUGAUGAGUCCUUUAACACUUUCUUCAGUUUUCUCCGUGACCUUUUCAGAUUGCGAUAAACUCUGAUGGUUUAUAUUUUUUCCUAAGGAGACAUUUCCAUCCUGAGGAAAAUAAGGAAGAAGGAAGAUAAUUGAUUCGAAGAGCAAAUCUUUCAUCAAAACCUGGAAACACGUUGUGGCAAGGAUAACUCAGAAAAACUGACAUGCUAGAGGAAAGAGGUUAUAUCACAGCUUGCAAAUGCAAAACAAAUGUCAAGAAAUGCUGAGCCGAAAUGUUAAAUUG